GCGGCGGCGGAGCUCUUCGGCGAAGAAUCGGGGCGGCGUGGGCGCGUGCGAGCGGGAGCGAGAAGAGGGAAAGAGAAGAGGAGGGGGAGAGCUUUAUAAGGACGCGCUCGGGCUGCUCGGGGAAGGUCGGAAUCAACGGGGACGGAGAUUGCGGCGGCACAGUGUCUGGCGCGGAUUCGGCGGCCGGCUUUCCUAACGGGGAAGAAGGCUCUGACGCGUGGGUCCCACAUGUCAGUGGCAGCGGGCGCGCGCGUGCGGACUGGUCCGGUUCGGUCGGGCGGUUCGGCCGGUUCGAGGCUUAGCGGGCCGGCCCAGUGGGUCGGUCCGUUCUAUUUUUUUUUCCUUUAGCCUUUUCUUUUUCUGUUUUUCUUAUUUCUUUGAUAACUUUUGAUUUUGAACUCCAAAUUGGUCCAAAUAAAUUCCAGAAAAUUUGUUAAAUCAUGUUCUAUCAUGAUACAACUUUUGGGAGUAGUUUCCCAUCAAAAUAAAAUACACAAAAAUACAUUUACCCUAUAAAUGCUUUUAGGGCUAUAUAACUAUUUAAAUAAAAUACUUUGUCAACUCCAAAUAAUUUUCCAAAAAUUAUGGGAUAGCUUAUUUAUGCAAUAAACCCCCUUUUAUAUAUAAACCCUAUUGGUUUGAAGAUCCAAAGCUCAAAUGGGUGUAAACCCUAGGGUUUAAAUUGAAAGAAAAUCUUUUAAAGCCUUUUGAGAUUAAAAAUUGAAUUCAAAUAUGCAAUUGUGGCAUGAUGCUCAUGGAUGCAAUGCACAUGUAAAAGUUUGAAAUUUUAGGAUGU
rnacentral:lncRNA from 1 species